UACGGGGGGGGCAAGCGUUGUUCGGAAUUACUGGGCGUAAAGGGCUCGUAGGUGGCCAACUAAGUCAGACGUGAAAUCCCUCGGCUUAACCGGGGAACUGCGUCUGAUACUGGAUGGCUGGAGUAUGGGAGAGGGAUGCGGAAUUCCAGGUGUAGCGGUGAAAUGCGUAGAUAUCUGGAGGAACACCGGUGGCGAAGGCGGCAUCCUGGACCAUUACUGACGCUGAGGAGCGAAAGCCAGGGGAGCAAAGCGGG
rnacentral:rRNA from 1 species